rnacentral:rRNA from 1 species
UCAUACUUUUGUCUACCAUGCAAGUCGAGCGGAUGAAGGGAGCUUGCUCCUGGGUUCAGCGGCGGACGGGUGAGUAAUGCCUAGGAAUCUGCCUGGUAGUGGGGGAUAACGUCCGGAAACGGGCGCUAAUACCGCAUACGUCCUGAGGGAGAAAGUGGGGGAUCUUCGGACCUCACGCUAUCAGAUGAGCCUAGGUCGGAUUAGCUAGUUGGUGGGGUAAAGGCCUACCAAGGCGACGAUCCGUAACUGGUCUGAGAGGAUGAUCAGUCACACUGGAACUGAGACACGGUCCAGACUCCUACGGGAGGCAGCAGUGGGGAAUAUUGGACAAUGGGCGAAAGCCUGAUCCAGCCAUGCCGCGUGUGUGAAGAAGGUCUUCGGAUUGUAAAGCACUUUAAGUUGGGAGGAAGGGCAGUAAGUUAAUACCUUGCUGUUUUGACGUUACCAACAGAAUAAGCACCGGCUAACUUCGUGCCAGCAGCCGCGGUAAUACGAAGGGUGCAAGCGUUAAUCGGAAUUACUGGGCGUAAAGCGCGCGUAGGUGGUUCAGCAAGUUGGAUGUGAAAUCCCCGGGCUCAACCUGGGAACUGCAUCCGAAACUACUGAGCUAGAGUACGGUAGAGGGGUGGUGGAUUUCCCUGUGUACCGCUCAAAUGCCUUAGUAAAAAAGAG